rnacentral:rRNA from 1 species
AGUGAACGCUGGCGGUAGGCCUAACACAUGCAAGUCGAACGGCAGCACAGUAAGAGCUUGCUCUUACGGGUGGCGAGUGGCGGACGGGUGAGGAAUACAUCGGAAUCUACUUUUUCGUGGGGGAUAACGUAGGGAAACUUACGCUAAUACCGCAUACGACCUACGGGUGAAAGCAGGGGAUCUUCGGACCUUGCGCGAUUGAAUGAGCCGAUGUCGGAUUAGCUAGUUGGCGGGGUAAAGGCCCACCAAGGCGACGAUCCGUAGCUGGUCUGAGAGGAUGAGAGGCAACACUGGAACUGAGACACGGUCCAGACUCCUACGGGAGGCAGCAGUAGGGAAGAUUGAGCAAUGGGCGAAAGCCUGAAGGAGCAAUGCCGCGUGAGUGAGGAAGGCCUUCGGAUCGUAAAACGCUGUUAUUAGGGAAGAACAGAAGUGGAAGUAAAUGUGCAUAUCGGGACGGAACCUAAUAAGAAAGCCACGGCUAACUUCGUG